ACGCUCGACACCUACGGGAGGAGCAGUAGGGAAUCUUCCACAAUGGACGCAAGUCUGAUGGAGCAACGCCGCGUGAGUGAAGAAGGUCUUCGGAUCGUAAAACUCUGUUGUUAGAGAAGAACACGAGUGAGAGUAACUGUUCAUUCGAUGACGGUAUCUAACCAGCAAGUCACGGCUAACUACGUGCCGGCAGCCGCGGUAAUCUGAGCGGGCGUGCGAAGGCG
rnacentral:rRNA from 1 species